UUGACCGUUGGCUCCGGGGUAGGGGUCGCCGUUCGAGUGAUCUGCUCAGACCUGAACAGAGGGCGCGGGCUGCUGACGCUUAGCCUGGAGCCCGCGGGGGAGACCUAGUUCGGCUCCGCCAUGCCGGCCGCCGGGAGUAACGAGCCGGACGGCGUCCUCAGCUAUCAGAGACCAGAUGAAGAAGCUGUGGUGGAUCAGGGUGGGACCAGUACAAUUCUCAACAUUCACUAUGAAAAAGAAGAGCUGGAAGGGAUAUCAUUAGGAUCUAAUUGCCCACAUGGGAGAUAGUGCUUUGAACACUGUGAAGUCCAAUAUAAAUAUUAACAAAUAACCUGUUCUUUGAGAAUGUGAUGUACUCAGUUCAGUGCGUUGAUUCUUGACAACUGCCUGGAAAUACAAAUAUAUACAAAACUUAAAGAGAAAAUAAAAUACAAAUAGUUUUAAAUACUCA
rnacentral:sRNA from 1 species